rnacentral:rRNA from 8 species
GGCCGGGAACUCAAAGGAGACUGCCAGUGAUAAACUGGAGGAAGGUGGGGAUGACGUCAAGUCAUCAUGGCCCUUACGAGUAGGGCUACACACGUGCUACAAUGGCGCAUACAAAGAGAAGCGACCUCGCGAGAGCAAGCGGACCUCAUAAAGUGCGUCGUAGUCCGGAUUGGAGUCUGCAACUCGACUCCAUGAAGUCGGAAUCGCUAGUAAUCGUGGAUCAGAAUGCCACGGUGAAUACGUUCCCGGGCCUUGUACACACCGCCCGUCACACCAUGGGAGUGGGUUGCAAAAGAAGUAGGUAGCUUAACCUUCGGGAGGGCGCUUACCACUUUGUGAUUCAUGACUGGGGUGAAGUCGUAACAAGGUAACCGUAGGGGAACCUGCGGUUGGAUCACCUCCUUA